rnacentral:rRNA from 1 species
UACGUAGGUGGCAAGCGUUGUCCGGAAUUACUGGGUGUAAAGGGAGCGCAGGCGGGGUCUUAAGUUGGAUGUGAAAUGCCGCAGCUUAACUGCGGAGCUGCAUCCAAAACUGGGACUCUUGAGUGAAGUAGAGGCAGGCGGAAUUCCUGGUGUAGCGGUGAAAUGCGUAGAUAUCAGGAGGAACACCAGUGGCGAAGGCGGCCUGCUGGGCUUUUACUGACGCUGAGGCUCGAAAGCGUGGGGAGCAAACAGG